GGGGGUGUAGCUCCAUGGUAGAGUGCAUGCUCAGCAUGCAUGAGGCACUGGGUUCGAUCCCCAGCACCUCCA